rnacentral:tRNA from 2 species
GCCGCCUUAGCUCAGCUGGUAGAGCAGUUGCUUUGUAAGCAUCAGGUCGGUGGGUCCGAAUCCCCCAGGCGGCU